UACAGAGGGGGCAAGCGUUGUUCGGAAUUACUGGGCGUAAAGGGCGCGUAGGCGGCCCGCUAAGUCGAACGUGAAAUCCCCGAGCUCAACUCGGGAACUGCGUCCGAUACUGGCGGGCUUGAAUCCGGGAGAGGGAUGCGGAAUUCCAGGUGUAGCGGUGAAAUGCGUAGAUAUCUGGAGGAACACCGUGAUAAGCGGCAAGGCACGUCGUUGCCGUGGG
rnacentral:rRNA from 1 species